UCUCAAGUGUCAUUUUCUCACAUAUACUUCACACAAAAGAAACAACCAUUCACUUCAUACCUUGUCAUUUCUUUCUCUUUAUUUUUAUUUUUUUCUCUUCCUCUUUCUCUCUUCUUUUCUCUCUCCUCUCAAUCUCAAAAUCUGCAACUACUCCCUCAAAUUUGAUCAAACCCCAUCUGAAAAAGAAAACCCAGAAAAUCUCACCUGAAUUUCAAAAACCCCUUAUCUCCCACCACUACCCCACACACAAAUCCAGUUUACCCUAACGACUUCUUCCACAAAUUAACUUCAAACACACACGCAUACACAUAUACAUAUAUCUAUCUUUUUAUCUAUAUAUCCACAUAUAUAUAUAUACACCUAAUCCUUGGCAAAAGCUUCUUCUUUCUUCUUGUUUUUCUCUUCUACAUAUUAGCUACCCUAAAAAAAAGGGAAAAAGAAAAAAGAGUGAGAGAAGAGAAAAGUAGAAAAACUCAUCUAAAGAGGAGCACUUAGUUUGUACUAGUCUUCGUCCUCCUCUCUUUUUCUUGGUUAUUAGAAGAUGGAGCUGUUUCCUGCUCAGCCGGAUUUAUCCCUUCAAAUCAGCCCACCAAACGCAAAACCCACACCCAGUUGGAGGAGAAGUAGUGCCGGCGCCGGUGCCGCCACCUCAACCGAAGAAGAGGUUGAUUUGGGGUUUUGGAAAAGAGCUCUCGACUCCCAAAACUUCUCUAUAUCCUCUUCAAUGGCAGCCAAACCCGAUAAGUACCAUCAUAAUAGCAAUAGUAAUAACAACAUCAACAACAAUACUAGUAGUAGUAAUCAUAGUAACUCUUCGUCAUGCUUUUUCGACCUCUCUCUUUCGAACAACCCUCGUCUCGUUUCGAAUUCUUCUUCGGAAAAUAACAGUCUCUUUCUUCACCAAAACCAACAUCAUAGCAAUAACCAUUUCUACAACCACGGUAAUAAUAUUGGGAACAAUCUCUUCCAUAGUAAUAGUGCCAGUACUAGUGGUAGUAGUACUAUUACCAAUAAUGCUUUUCCCCACCAUCAAAAUCAACUUCUCCUCCACCCACACGCACCGUUUCAACACCUUCUUCAUCAUCAACAACAAGGAGGAGGAGGAGGAGGUGGUGGCGGUGGCGGAGGUGGUGGGUUGGGCCAAGAGUUGGGAUUCUUACGACCCAUUAGGGGAAUUCCGGUGUACCACCAAAACCACCCUCCUCCCUCAUCGUCAUUUCCCUUCUCUCAUACUCUAGAAACAACAGCUAAUUCCUUGUCGUCUUCAGUGAAUGGUACUAAUACGAUAACGAGUUCCAAUCCCUUUCAGUCCCAUCAUCAUCAAGCGGCGGCCGCCGCCGGCUUGAUGCGAUCGAGGUUUCUUUCUCAUCGUUUCCCAGCUAAACGCAGCAUGAGAGCCCCUCGGAUGCGAUGGACGACAACUCUUCACGCUCGUUUUGUUCAUGCUGUUGAGCUGUUGGGUGGCCAUGAAAGGGCUACGCCAAAGUCAGUUCUUGAGCUAAUGGAUGUGAAGGAUCUGACCCUUGCUCAUGUUAAAUCUCAUUUACAGAUGUACCGGACGGUCAAGACCACAGAUAGAGCAGCGGCUUCUUCAGGACAAUCAGAUGCGUACGAGAAUGGGUCAUCUGGAGACACAACUGAAGAUUUAAUGUUUGACAUUCAGAACACAAGAAGGUCUGAGCAAUCUCCUCAGCAAGGAAGGUCCAGUGGUCAAGACAAGGACUAUAAUAAUCCUGCCCUAUGGUGCAAUUCUUCAAGCAGGGAAGCUUGGUUGCAUGGCAAACCAAAAGAUUCUAUUGGUGGAAAUGUACCAUCUCUUGAUGAUGAUCAGGUGAUGAAAAACUGAAGUUCCUGCAUGUGAUUAUAAAAGAAAAAGAGCACAUUUCUUUGAGCAUGAUAUAAAGACAUGGAUCCAAAAUGCUUAAGCUACGAAAGAAUAUCAUCAUCAGAUGGAAGCUCACCAACAAAUAGUCCCAAGAAGCCCAAUUUGGAGUUCACUUUGGGAAGAGCACUUUGAUUAUAUAAUUAUUAAUUUUACUAUUAUUUCCAGAUUAGUAUAGAUCCUUCUUCAUUUCUCUGAUGGUGAUGGUGAUGAUGAUGAUGAUGAGUGUUACUAUAUAGUACUUCUCUUCUUUUGAAUUCAUUUAAAAAUGUCUCUAAAAGAAGGGUCCUGUGCUAGCUAGCUCUGUUGGAGUAGUGAGAGCUGAGAGAGAUGAGAAUCAGGUACCCAUCUGAGAAAAAUCACCCAAAAAAACAAAAGAAAAGAAAAGAGUGAGAGAGAAAGAAAGAAAGAAAGAAAAGUAAAAGGAGAGCUAAAGAAAGACAAGCAGACAAGAAAGACAGAAAGCAACAAAAGGAGAAAAGGGUAGGAAAAAAGCAAGUCCCCCCUAUCAAUUGCAGCUGUGAGAUCCAAAUCAACUUAUUAUAUUCCUACGUAAAUAUAUGAAAUCUAAUUGAUUUUGUAUGGUUUUGGCACCAAGCGAGAGAGAGAUAGAGAGAGAGAGAGAAAGAAAGAAAGAGCUUUAACUAUCUUAUUAAAGUAUUGGAAGUGAUCCUUAUUCCUUGGUAAUUGUAAUGGAGCACUUUACAUUUUAUGGAAAUUAAUAUAUAUAUAUUUAUUUUAUUAUUACAUAAA